CUCUUUAAGAUCUCAACUAUCUCUAUAUAAAAUUCUUGUCCUCUCCUUUCCCCCCUCAUAUUUUGUCUGCAAUCUAAAUGCACUAAACACACACAUACAAUUACCAAACACCCUCUCAUUCACUCUCUUCUCUCUCGAUCUAUACAUAUACAAACAAAAAGAAAUCAAACCCCACACAUAACACAGACAACAACCACAGCUGACUACCCCUCCCCCCCCCUCUGACGACACCCAUCUUUAUACCCCCUGGCGACGUUCCAACGGCGGAAAGCCGUCGCCGUGCGGCGGCGUGACGACAAGACAGAGAAACAGAGGAGAGAAAAAGAUGAAGAGAGAGAGAGGGGAAGGGAGAUGAUGAGAGAGAAAGAGUGAAGAAGGAGCGCGGCAGCGACGGCGGGACUCGGCGGAGCUCGCCAGAACCGGCAAAGACGAAGAUAGAGAGAGUUGGUGAUGUCGGCUGUGGUGGUCGUUUGUGGCUUCUUUCUGUUCAAUCUCAGUUCAGCAAGAGUGGGAUUAGCUUAGGCUCGAGCUCAAAUGGUUAGUUCGGGUGUUUGGGUGUCACGGUUAACUUCGGGUCGGUCUCGGUCAGAUCUGGGUCAUGUUUAAGCGCGUCAGGUUUGGAUUUUGGGUCACCCACGGGUUUUUGGGUCAUCAUCGAGUCAAACCCGGUUAACUGAUGCCAACGACAGCCAAAGGUUCGGGUCAGCGGGUCAACAAUUCCAAUAUGGUUCAGAUUUGGUGCGUUUCGGUUUAGAUUUUUGGUUCGGGUCGAUUCGGUCAAACUGAGUCGACUCGGUCAAAUAUGGUCAACUCGCUGAAUCAACUCGGUCAACUCAGCCGGCCAACUCAGUUGACCCGGUCAACUCAGCAAGCGUUUCGACAAUAGAAGAUGGUAAAAGUUUAAGUCGCGAUUAUUUUCGUUAACUAUUCCUUAUUUUAAUAAUACGUGAUAACGAGCUCGAACCGACAUGAUUAUAGUUUACAUUUUAUGAAAUUUUUGGCAAAUUGAUAUAUUGGUAAUUGAAUCUUG